rnacentral:rRNA from 1 species
UUGAAGAGUUUGAUCAUGGCUCAGAUUGAACGCUGGCGGCAGGCCUAACACAUGCAAGUCGAGCGGAAACGAGUUAUCUGAACCUUCGGGGGACGAUAACGGCGUCGAGCGGCGGACGGGUGAGUAAUGCCUAGGAAAUUGCCCUGAUGUGGGGGAUAACCAUUGGAAACGAUGGCUAAUACCGCAUAAUGCCUACGGGCCAAAGAGGGGGACCUUCGGGCCUCUCGCGUCAGGAUAUGCCUAGGUGGGAUUAGCUAGUUGGUGAGGUAAUGGCUCACCAAGGCGACGAUCCCUAGCUGGUCUGAGAGGAUGAUCAGCCACACUGGAACUGAGACACGGUCCAGACUCCUACGGGAGGCAGCAGUGGGGAAUAUUGCACAAUGGGCGCAAGCCUGAUGCAGCCAUGCCGCGUGUGUGAAGAAGGCCUUCGGGUUGUAAAGCACUUUCAGUCGUGAGGAAGGUGGUAGUGUUAAUAGCACUAUCAUUUGACGUUAGCGACAGAAGAAGCACCGGCUAACUCCGUGCCAGCAGCCGCGGUAAUACGGAGGGUGCGAGCGUUAAUCGGAAUACUGGGCGUAAAGCGCAUGCAGGUGGUUUGUUAAGUCAGAUGUGAAAGCCCGGGGCUCAACCUCGGAAUAGCAUUUGAAACUGGCAGACUAGAGUACUGUAGAGGGGGGUAGAAUUUCAGGUGUAGCGGUGAAAUGCGUAGAGAUCUGAAGGAAUACCGGUGGCGAAGGCGGCCCCCUGGACAGAUACUGACACUCAGAUGCGAAAGCGUGGGGAGCAAACAGGAUUAGAUACCCUGGUAGUCCACGCCGUAAACGAUGUCUACUUGGAGGUUGUGGCCUUGAGCCGUGGCUUUCGGAGCUAACGCGUUAAGUAGACCGCCUGGGGAGUACGGUCGCAAGAUUAAAACUCAAAUGAAUUGACGGGGGCCCGCACAAGCGGUGGAGCAUGUGGUUUAAUUCGAUGCAACGCGAAGAACCUUACCUACUCUUGACAUCCAGAGAACUUUCCAGAGAUGGAUUGGUGCCUUCGGGAACUCUGAGACAGGUGCUGCAUGGCUGUCGUCAGCUCGUGUUGUGAAAUGUUGGGUUAAGUCCCGCAACGAGCGCAACCCUUAUCCUUGUUUGCCAGCGAGUAAUGUCGGGAACUCCAGGGAGACUGCCGGUGAUAAACCGGAGGAAGGUGGGGACGACGUCAAGUCAUCAUGGCCCUUACGAGUAGGGCUACACACGUGCUACAAUGGCGCAUACAGAGGGCAGCAAGCUAGCGAUAGUGAGCGAAUCCCAAAAAGUGCGUCGUAGUCCGGAUUGGAGUCUGCAACUCGACUCCAUGAAGUCGGAAUCGCUAGUAAUCGUGGAUCAGAAUGCCACGGUGAAUACGUUCCCGGGCCUUGUACACACCGCCCGUCACACCAUGGGAGUGGGCUGCAAAAGAAGUAGGUAGUUUAACCUUCGGGAGGACGCUUACCACUUUGUGGUUCAUGACUGGGGUGAAGUCGUAACAAGGUAGCGCUAGGGGAACCUGGCGCUGGAUCACCUCCUU